CAGCCGCGCGGGAAUACGGAGGGGGCUAGCGUUGUUCGGAAUUACUGGGCGUAAAGCGCACGUAGGCGGCUUGGUAAGUUAGAGGUGAAAGCCCGGAGCUCAACUCCGGAAUUGCCUUUAAGACUGCCGAGCUAGUAGGUGAGAGAGGUAAGUGGAAUUCCGAGUGUAGAGGUGAAAUUCGUAGAUAUUCGGAAGAACACCAGUGGCGAAGGCGGCUUACUGGCUCAUUCUAGACGCUGAGGUGCGAAAGCGUGGGGAGCAAACAGGAUUAGAUACCCGAGUAGUCCCUGUCUCUUAUACA
rnacentral:rRNA from 1 species